GGGAAGACUUAGAUCCCCCGUGGUUGGCGUGUUAAUAGUGGUGUCAUAGGCCAGGCAUCAUGGUUAGUGAAUC
rnacentral:ncRNA from 1 species